rnacentral:lncRNA from 1 species
AUUGCUUUUAGCCAACAUAAUUUUUGGCUAAGGCCAGGUUUACCUUUUUUUAAUCAGUCUCUGAAAUGUGAUUUAUGGAGGUACACCCAUCUCAUUUUCUAAUCACCUUUUGGUAUUGAGGGGCUUAUAAUGACAGUUUCUGAAAUGUGAGAGUGAUGACGUGCUGUGUAUUUAAUAACAGACAUCUCUUAUCCUUACAGCUGUGACCCACACUCCUCUGUGAAAUGAUUUUUGAAUACACAUGAAAUGGGAACUCCC